GCUCUGAAGAACAGCUUUGCAGCCCGCAGUUCGAGCUCCGGGGCUGGCGCCCGGCCUCUCUCCGGUGGACCUGCGGGGCUGUAAGUUGAGGGGAUCUCAUGCUGCAGUGGCGAUAUCAGCCAUGCUUCCAGAAUCUUCUGUUCAUUGUCAACCGUCGGAAAUAAUGAAAGGAUUGCUGAAGUUGGUGUCCUUUGAUGAGGUGGCUGUGGAUUUCAGCUGGGAGGAAUGGCAGGACCUGGAUAUUUCUCAGAGGACCCUGUAUAGAGAUGUAAUGCUAGAGACCUACAGCAACCUGGUAUCCUUAGGUCACUGUGUUCCUAAACCUAAGUUGAUUGUCAAGCUGGA